rnacentral:rRNA from 1 species
GACGAACGCUGGCGGCGUGCCUAAUACAUGCAAGUAGAACGCUGAAGGAGGAGCUUGCUCUUCUGGAUGAGUUGCGAACGGGUGAGUAACGCGUAGGUAACCUGCCUGGUAGCGGGGGAUAACUAUUGGAAACGAUAGCUAAUACCGCAUAACAUUGACUAUUGCAUGAUAGUCAAUUAAAAGGUGCAAAUGCACCACUACCAGAUGGACCUGCGUUGUAUUAGCUAGUUGGUGGGGUAACGGCUCACCAAGGCGACGAUACAUAGCCGACCUGAGAGGGUGAUCGGCCACACUGGGACUGAGACACGGCCCAGACUCCUACGGGAGGCAGCAGUAGGGAAUCUUCGGCAAUGGACGGAAGUCUGACCGAGCAACGCCGCGUGAGUGAAGAAGGUUUUCGGAUCGUAAAGCUCUGUUGUAAGAGAAGAACGAGUGUGAGAGUGGAAAGUUCACACUGUGACGGUAUCUUACCAGAAAGGGACGGCGAACUACGU